GACGAACGCUGGCGGCGUGCUUAACACAUGCAAGUCGAACGGGCCUUGUCCCCUUUUUUUUGGGGGUGGGGUUAGUGGCGAACGGGUGAGUAACACGUGAGUAACCUGCCCCUCACUUCUGGAUAACCGCUUGAAAGGGUGGCUAAUACGGGGUGUUCUGGCCUGCUCGCAUGGGUGGGUUUGGAAAGAUUCGACCGGUUUUGGUUGUUUUGGUGGGGGAUGGGCUCGCGGCCUAUCAGCUUGUUGGUGGGGUGAUGGCCUGCCAAGGCUUUGACGGGUAGCCGGCCUGAGAGGGUGGGCGGUCACACUGGGACUGAGACACGGCCCAGACUCCUACGGGAGGCAGCAGUGGGGAAUAUUGCACAAUGGGCGCAAGCCUGGUGCAGCGACGCCGCGUGAGGGAUGGAGGCCUUCGGGUUGUGAACCUCUUUCGCCAGUGAAGAAGGUCCUGCUCUUUGUGGUGGGGUUGACGGUAGCUGGGUUAAUGAAGCGCCGGCUAACUACGUG
rnacentral:rRNA from 1 species